rnacentral:rRNA from 1 species
GAUUAUGGCUCAGGAUGAACGCUAGCUACAGGCUUAACACAUGCAAGUCGAGGGGCAGCAUAACGAAAGCUUGCUUUGUUGAUGGCGACCGGCGCACGGGUGAGUAACGCGUAUCCAACCUUCCCUAUACUAGAGGAUGGCCCGGCGAAAGUCGGAUUAAUACUCUAUGUUCUUCGUAGAAGACAUCUGAAAUGAAGCAAAGGUUUACCGGUAUAGGAUGGGGGAUGCGUCUGAUUAGGUUGUUGGCGGGGUAACGGCCCACCAAGCCCACGAUCAGUAGGGUUCUGAGAGGAAGGUCCCCCACAUUGGAACUGAGACACGGUCCAAACUCCUACGGGAGGCAGCAGUGAGGAAUAUUGGUCAAUGGACGAGAGUCUGAACCAGCCAAGUAGCGUGCAGGAUGACGGCCCUAUGGGUUGUAAACUGCUUUUAUACAGGGAUAAAGUGACGUACGUGUACGUUUUUGUAGGUACUGUAUGAAUAAGGACCGGCUAAUUCCGUGCCAGCAGCAGC